GACGUAGGGCGCGAGCGUUGUCCGGAUUUAUUGGGCGUAAAGAGCUCGUAGGCGGUUUGUCGCGUCUGCUGUGAAAGCCCGAGGCUCAACCUCGGGCCUGCAGUGGGUACGGGCAGACUGGAGUGCGGUAGGGGAGAAUGGAAUUCCUGGUGUAGCGGUGGAAUGCGCAGAUAUCAGGAGGAACACCGAUGGCGAAGGCAGUUCUCUGGGCCGUAACUGACGCUGAGGAGCGAAAGCGUGGGGAGCGAACAGG
rnacentral:rRNA from 1 species